UGAGGCCUACUCCAGNGAUGAUACGCUUUC
rnacentral:piRNA from 1 species